UACAGAGGUGGCAAGCGUUGUUCGGAAUUACUGGGCGUAAAGCGCGCGUAGGCGGUUUGCUAAGUGGGAUGUGAAAUCCCCGGGCUUAACCUGGGAAUUGCAUUUCAAACUGGCCGACUAGAGUACGGUAGAGGGAGGUAGAAUUUCCUGUGUAGCGGUGAAAUGCGUAGAUAUAGGAAGGAAUACCAGUGGCGAAGGCGGCCUCCUGGAUCGAUACUGACGCUGAGGCGCGAAAGCGUGGGGAGCAAACAGG
rnacentral:rRNA from 1 species